UACGUAGGUGGCAAGCGUUGUCCGGAUUCACUGGGCGUAAAGCGCGCGCAGGCGGUCUCGGGCGUCGGUGCUGAAAGUCCACCGCUUAACGGUGGGAUGCGUGCCGAUACGCCGAGACUGGAGGGUGGGCGAGGGUGGUGGAAUUGCCGGUGUAGUGGUGAAAUGCGUAGAGAUCGGCAGGAACACCCGUGGUGAAAACGGCCACCUAGCCCAUACCUGACGCUGAGGCGCGACAGCGUGGGGAGCGAACGGG
rnacentral:rRNA from 1 species